UUAGAAUGUCCGAGAACCAUCAAGGAAGCAUGUAACUUGUCCUGGCUUCUGUGGUGGAAAAAACUCCGACCUUGGUCAGGUCUUUUUGCGAUGUCCGAAAGACUUUUGAAGAUCCGAUCCUCCAACAAGGUGGGCCAGAGAUCCAUUUGAUGGUGAGCCUCCCAUGACAAACUGUGAAGUCCACCACCACAGCUCUCGGCAAUCGGAUCCCGUGGUAGGAUAGUGCCAAUUUUGCUGAAGGCACCAACAAGAUCUCAAUCUGGAUAUUUACCCAAUAUCCAUGACUUUUGACUAUUCUCCCUGACUUUAUGACUGAACUGAUCUUGGAUCAAUAAAGAACAUUUUCCGCAAGGAACUAAUUGAAAAAGAAAAGGACUGUUUGAAAGAGACAAUUUAUUUAUUUUUAUUUUAUUUUUGGGCCCAGGUUAUGUGCACACCAUUUCAUGUUGUAAACUGUUGCCAUAUUUGUAAACCAAAUAUUUUCUAAAACAAAAGAAAAAAACUAAAGUUUACAAUUUUCACAAAUUUAAA